rnacentral:lncRNA from 1 species
CGGACGCUACUCAAGAUGGCUGCUGGCCUAUUGACUGUACACAGAUCAAAGAGUAGGUAGGAAUGUGUGGGUUGGUUAAUGAGUGAGCUUGAGACACGUCAUGUAUGACUCGCCUGAAUUGACAUAGAACACAUGUUAUUAUUCACUGUUUGAGGAGAAUUUAUUUAGGGUGAUAAAAAGAUGUCACCCCUUUGACAUGUACGUUAAUUAAAAUGAUAGCCAUUGAAACGUUUCAGACAAAGCCAAAGGUUUUACAGGGCUUAAAACGAUUCCCUUUAACUUGGCCUUGCCUUUUCCUUGACUAUCUGUUCGUUAACAGCGUAUUCCAAUUAAGGUUUUAAUCUCAUUUAGUGAGCUGCCAAUCCGGUGUGCGUUUUGCCAUCCUGGUGUAAUUGAACGAUCUUUGACCACUUCCCGUAUCCUAAUGCCUUUUUUCCCUCACGCCUCUCAAAACAUUGAAUUAACUCGGCAGAGGAGGGCGGGAAAACCAUUGUUCAAUGGUGGAGCUGGCGAAUUGUUUAUUAAAUACAGUUAACUGGAUUAGCUCUUGAGCAAUUAACCGUUUAGAAAUCAAUUUCUUCCAGUGUUUUCUUGAGCUGGAACGAAUGAACCGUUUUCAGAAAAAAAAAAUAUCUGUGCUCAUGGUGUUUGCGUUAUUGCUUCAUUGAAGCAGUACGUGAUUUUGGCUUAAAUUAAAGAAUCAAUGAUUUUGAAUUGCUAAUAACUCGAGUCGACAGGCCUGACAACUUUGUCUUCCUAUAAAAACCUUCAGAAAUUAGAUUGAUUGAUGGGUGUUUUUCUUGCCAAAAUUAAAAUAGGUUCUUUUGUUAUUUCUCGACGGGUGAAGCUUUGAAAUGCUGCUGUCACAAUACAUUUUGACGACCUAUCUCUCUCCUCUCACGUCGACUUGAAAUCUAAAAACAAAAUCGUAUCUUAAAAGGUUUUAACAGAUUUCCAGUUCUUUAAUUCCUUAACACGAGCUGUUGACAGCUACUUCAGCGCUACGCAUCUCAACCUGUUUUGAUUCGGAGUUGAUAUUUCAAGGAGAUAUGACUUAAAUCGGUUAAGUCUUGUUCUCGAGAACAUUUCUGUCUGGUUUGAGAUUCAUCUCAAAAUAUUAAGAGUAACUUUUCGAGGGGUCAUCACUAAAGUUUAAGAAAUCUUCGAUCAGAGCCGGUAGUUUUGAUAUUUUUAUGUAUCUGAAACUCCCACUAUAUUCUGAUUACUAUUUAAUGAACUGUGGGGGUGGUCCUGAUUUUCAAGACCUCUCGGACUGUUUCUUGACACUAAAGUAAGCUUCUACGCUAUUUAUUUUUCCGAUUGUAAGGUGCACAAACCCUGUAAAUGUUCCAAGAUAUGACAGAUCGUAUAAUUAAGGCCUGCCAAGCAUCGUGCGGUCUUGUCAAUGUUUGCAAAUGUCGUAGGACAUCAGCAUAUCUACUGUGGCUCAAAACACAGGAAACAGCCACAUUGACCUCAACAAACAUCUAGGUUUUCUACAAUAAAACACAAAUGUUUUGAAUACCUGUUAGGGGGAUUACUAUCAAAGUGACAAAGAUGUUUCUGUGACCUUCAACAGCGCAUGUAUAGACCCUGUUUCUGCCAAUGUUUCAUUUCACUGAUGGUAUCGACCGCACAUCACAAUGAAUCGACCCAGAGAAAUUUUUGCCCCCCAAAAAAACCUUCUUUGCAUGCAGUUCGAUUCUUCGUUGAGGUCACAAGGACAGCUCUUUGGCGUCAUCUACUAUCGUUUUUGACAAGUGGGCAGAAUUGCGAUGACUUUGAUUUUGUCAGCGAUAGCAAAUAUCACGGAAUCAUUUCCCACGUCUUCAAGUCUUUUUUCUUCAAACCAGAACCUCGUUCAAGCUCGGUGAUCUCUCCAUAAGCUUGAGAUAAAAUCUCAGUGCAGAAAAGAACGGUUAAAUGAGAAUUUACGCCAGGGUGUUCUUCUGCUGUGGAGCUUAUGGAAUGAAAUAUGAAGUCCAUGGACAACAAUAUAUGGAACGCGUGGCAUUGGACAAGCGGAGUUGUCAACACGGAGUCAUUUAUGCCCGGUUCAGAUGAAAAACACACACUUGGGCUGUCAAACCAGUUUUAUGAACUGGGGGAAAACUAAUUAAACUUCAUGCAAACUGACCGCCAGUUUCAUUCAUGGAAAAUGAUGACACUUGACAUGCGAUUUUGUCUGCAGAGAACAAAGGUUCCAACAUUGCUUUUAUGAGCUCUCAGAUUCUUGAAGUAUUGAGACAUCAAUGUUGUGAGAAAUGCCAUUUACCUAACGUUCUAAUUUGUUCUAAUGUGCUUCCGACAGACAGACAAAAAGAAGAACGUGUUAUUGAAUAGCAAGGCUGGAUGUUCAGUUCCAUUGUGAACAGCUCCCAUGUUCUCAUAAGAAUUCUGCUACCAAAAGCAAACAAGAAAACAGAAAACUUCAUAAAGAUAUUUCAAGCGCGCCAUAAAAUACUCGCGGUAUUAUAAACAGAUAACGUGAACGCUUAAGACACUUUCUAUUUCAUAGAUAAAGCGGGGUACCAAAAGGAUAAACUUGUCAAAGGAAAUGAAUCUGUGGGUGAAAAUGUGUUCAGAGCAAAUAAAAAGACAUGGAACCUCAUGUCUUGAUUACUUGGUUAAACCUUAUUAGGGAAAUAUCGGAAGUAACUUUCACUUUAUUUGCAUUGUAGUCCAAACUUUGCCAACUUGAAGCAAGGUUUUAUUUCCACCUAAAGAAAACUUUUCAAAAAAAAAUAUUAUGACCCGCCUUUUUUUGUUCUUGAAUUCAUAACCGAGCAUAUCUCUGAAGUGUUUUAUCUCUCGUGAUUUUAAAUGGUUAAAUGAAAAGUAAUACGGGUCGAAAAACAACAGAAAUUAUCUCUCUAUGGAAAAUCUUGACGUGAAGAACAUCAUAGAAUUUCAUAGGCAGAGUUUCCAAGCAAGUGAAGUGCUUUGCAGUUAAUAAAUUCAUUCAGCGACGCGUGCUAUGCCUGAGUUGUUGUACGCUAAAAGAUAAGGCACCGCUUUAAACAAUUGACUAAUUCUUUCUGACUUAGCACAGAGGCCCGAUGAUAUCACUGAUAUUUUUGGUUCUUGAUUAGACCGAGUUUCAACAGCUUUGCAGCCGCGUGCUCAUGGCGAAAUCAGUAAAAGGUGAAGAACGCAAAGAAAAGGAUCAGCAACUGAUACCAGGGUGCUGGAGAGCAAGGAUGGAGAUUACAGGAUUAGUUUUAAGACGAAAUAAUUCCCAUAUCUGCUUUUUGUAGGAGUGGUCUUAAAAGUAAUUGAAAAGAUCAGUUUCACCCUUGAAAGUGUAAAUCGAUAAUUUUUUGUGGAAAACUACUUUCAAAUUGUAAGACAUACACAAGCCUCACCUUUUUUCGUAAAUCGCAACUGACUUUCUCUUUAUACAACGAUUAGUUGUUACGAAGCUUGAUGUCAACUUCGAGAACUUCGACUUCAAACACAUGAAGCACAACUUGGCUUUCAGACGUCACGGAAGCAGAUUCACGCAGAGAACGCAAAGAGUAUGUAGCGGUACUUGGUUGUUAAUAUUCAGUGUAGAUAUACACAUGGUGGAUAUAUAUAAAAAAAGCUUUAUUCAGUUACUCUUAAGAACAGUAAUUCUGUCACCAAACAUUCAGGUAUUCUAUUGCUUUCUUUCACAUUUUCCUCUACUGUCCAUUAAGCGAAAUGUCAUGGUAUGCAAAACAGGUUUAGUUUCUGAAGUCCAUUCGACAUUGCAGCUAGUUACAACCCAUUAAUAAUGGUAAAAAAAGGCAGUAUGGGUUUCAAACAAAACAAAACAAAAAGUAGAAAACAAAAUCCAUUAAUCGCAUUUUAAAAAAAUAUUCAAGAAGGUACUCUGUAGUCUCUUGAAUGAAAAUAAACAAUUCUCGAAGCUGUAUCGUGAAGGCUGACCUCCUUCACUCGAGUAGGUUGCUCCUUUACCGGCCGGUGAUUUCAAUACGAGUUGCGGGUAAAUUAUGGCUUUUUAAAACCUAUGCGACUAAUUCAGGUAAAUUAAAAAAGUGUUUGCCAUUUGAGUGAUCGUGUUUUGAGGGUAGUGUUCUCUGGGACGCAUAGGGGUAACUUUAAAAAAUGCGUCCAAAUGUCUGCGUAGUUGACAGCUCAUAUAUCAUCACCGUUCGACUAUAGUGUUCUAAAGUUAACUACGAAACAACUUCAAACCGAAUUUUAAGAAUAGUUUCAGUGUUAAUUUAAGUGGAGUCAAUGAGCUUUUCCUCUGCGGCGAAAAGUUGAAUUUCUGGUACAUGUAAAUAAAGAGGAAAGCUUCGGUCGCGACACUCGUCUACUGACCAUCUUGCUCGAGGGAAAACAAACCGAAAUUAUUUUUUGCGUAAGAAGUUUCAAAAAGGGCCGAGCAUUCUGUGUUCGACCGGCGGCGUUUCUUUUUUCUUUGCGAGUAAAUUCUUACACAAAAACGAGUGGGAUGUCAUCUCCUCUCAUAACUACCUUCGUUAACUGGUCUUCAACUAAUUUUAAUAGAUUCCUUGUUUUAAAAGGUUCUACCGCGUUUUAUGCAUUAAAGACAUUUUAAUAUUUCAAGAGAAAAUUUUUUUUUCAUUUUUUUAAGUGGCCCUGUUAGUUGUUGAAGCAACAACCGUUCCAAUUCAAAACAUUAUCCUUAAACAAUAAACCUAAUUCUUGCAUUUACUUGAGAU